GUCUAUGGCCAUGCUACCCUGAACAAGCCCGAUCCUGUCUGAUCUUGGAAGCUAAGCAGGAUUGGGCCUGGUUAGUACUUAGAUGGGAGACCACCUAGGAAGACCACGUGCUGUAGGCA
rnacentral:rRNA from 1 species